UUGAUUCGAUUCAAAGCUUCAAACCCAGAAAAUCUCGUAUCUAAUCAGAGAUUCAUGGCCUACGGCCGAAGUUCGAUUAGAUUCUAACCCAGAACUCUUCGCCUCUCGACCUCUUCUUUGAAGUUCGUUUCGAUUCAAAUCUUCAAACCCAGAAAUCUCGUAUCAAUUCAUUCGAUUCAUGGCCUACGGCCGUUAAUCACUUAAUCUCAAGUGGAAUCAGUCUCUUUGAAGUGGAAUCUUGAUUUUUUACUUGUAUAUGAACAGGAGGACGAGGACUAAGAAGCAAAGUGACUGCACAACUGAAGCUAUGGGUACUCAAAGUGCUAACCUCAGUCAAGCUAGUAGCUCUAGCCCUUCAAUAAGUUCUGCACCUAAUAUGACGAGUACUGCAGCUUUAGAUCAUUCCCCUUUAGGACAACCACCCGUAGGUCAAACACUCCCACCUUUAGGUGCUUCUGGU